GAUCAAUGGAAAUAGUGUUUUUUCUGUAAUAGGGAUGUAUUGAUCAAUGGGUCAGAGACAUGGGAGGAAUGUGUCUAGGCAUCGAGCCUGAAUUAGGAUACUUGUUAUUUGGCCAUUGGUCCUGUUUUAUUGCAAGGAAUUAUAAUUGGUCAACCACAGGCUAGGGCUGGGUUAUAAACUACAUCCUGUCCCUAUGUUCUGUGGAUAGAAUCACAGGAGAGAAUCACUGACGAGAGAAUCACUGAGGACAGAGAAGGAACGGCCAUCUACCUCUCAACAUAACAUCUAUGAUUUAUCCUCUCUGAAUAAACCUAUUUUCCUCCACCUGAUUUGCUUUGGGGUCUGUGUUAUUAUAGAAUAACUUCAACUUCUAACAUUUGGUGCCGUGACCCGGAUGAAUUGGUCUGAACAACAACAAGAAAAAACGUAUCAACUGUGUGUUGCUCCUGAAGAAAGAGAGAAGGCUGAGCGCAACCCAUUUUGGGGAGUCAACUCUCCUGAUUGGUGGCAUAAUUGCUGGGUUAUGAGAAUCUACAGUCUGAAGCUGAAGCAAUAUCCCUUGAACCAAGGACUCUACCUGAAAUGAUACAAGAUCACCGGUGAAGUGUUCAUUAGAAAAGUCCUUAACCCGUGGAAUGGGAGAAGAAUUCCUCACUACCGGCAGACUGUCAGAACAUCAUUUCUAAUAGUUAUCAAUGUGGGACUGAUGCCAGUGAGGAGGAGCUGGUCACUUUUAAAGGACUUGGUGAAUGAUUACUUGCCAAUAGGACGAUUGAAUAUGAUUUUCUUGUAGACGUUUUUGUGUGUGUGAGUUUCCUCCUAAUACAGGAUGUGGUGCGAAUCAUCAUUACACCUGAUUGUUAAUAGUUAUUUUCUAUAACUUUGUUUUAAAUCUAUUUCUUAUUGUAACAGCAAGUACAAUAUGCCCUUUGUGUUUUAUAGAAAUGCAAGGUGUUUUAAUGGUAGUGAUUUUAUGCUUACGGCUAAUGUUUUUUAUACUGUCUAUUUUUUCUGUUUUCUAAAAAAUACAUUUUUAAGUAGAUUUAUUUCUAAAAUGGUCUAGAGGGGAGUAUAAGAAUAUUUAGAAGAUAAAUACACAAUGCAGAGACAGAGGAUGAGAGAUUAAUAGUGUACUAACGAUCAAUGGAAAUAGUGUUUUUUCUGUAAAAGGGAAUUAUUGAUCAAUGGGUCAGAGACAUGGGAGGAAUUUGUCUAGACAUCAAGCCUGAAAUAGGAUACGUGUUAUUUGGCCAUUGGCCCUGUUUUAUUGCAAGGAAUUCUAAUUGGUCAACCACAUGCUAGGGCUGGGUUAUAACCUACAACCUGUCCCUAUGUUCUGUGGAUAGAAUCACAGGAGAGAAUCACUGAGGACAGAGAAGGAACGGCCAUCUACCUCUCAACAUAACAUCUAUGAUUUAUCCUCUUUGAAUAAACCUAUUUUUCUUCCCCUGA